rnacentral:rRNA from 1 species
AGCGUGAAGCCCCCCUCAAGAUGAGAUUUCCCAGUAUGUAAGACCCCUUGAAGACGACGAGGUUGAUAGGUUCGAGGUGGAAGCGCAGCAAUGCGUGGAGCUGACGAAUACUAAUCGGUCGAGGGCUUAUCCUAGAA